rnacentral:misc_RNA from 1 species
GGAAGUAAAAGCCGUAACAAGGUUUCCGUAGGUGAACCUGCGGAAGGAUCAUUAAUGAGUUGUCAUGGGGUUCGAUGCUGGCAGCCAAUUUUUGGAUGCAUGUGCUUGCCCUAACAAUCAUCUUCCAAACACCUGUGCACAUUUUUGAGGGAGUCUUGAGUUGGUUGCCGCUCUUGGGUGAUUUUCUCACAUUCCCUUAAAUCAUUAUACGCUAUUAACAAUGUUGAACGUGCUCUGUGCCGCAAGGCUAUUAAUAAAAUACAACUUUUAACAACGGAUCUCUUGGCUCUC